UGGAAACGUAUGCUAAUACCGAAUAUGCUCUACGGAGUAAAGGUGCCCUCUCCUUGGAAGGUAUCGCUAUAGGAUGAGCCCGCGUGAGAUUAGUUAGUUGGUAAGGUAAUGGCUUACCAAGGCGACGAUCUCUAGCUGGUUUGAGAGGAUGAUCAGCCACACUGGGACUGAGACACGGCCCAGACUCCUACGGGAGGCAGCAGUGGGGAAUAUUGCACAAUGAGCGAAAGCUUGAUGCAGCCAUACCGCGUGUGUGAAGAAGGCCCGAGGGUUGUAAAGCACUUUCAAUUGUGAGGAAGAUAGUGUCGUUAAUAUCGGCAUUGUUUGACGUUAACUUUAGAAGAAGCACCGGCUAACUCUGUGCCAGCAGCCGCGGUAAUACAGAGGGUGCAAGCGUUAUUCGGAAUUACUGGGCGUAAAGCGCGCGUAGGCGGAUUAUUAAGUCAGUUGUGAAAGCCCUGGGCUCAACCUGGGAACUGCAUCUGAUACUGGUAGUCUAGAGUUUAAGAGAGGGAAGUGGAAUUCCAGGUGUAGCAGUGAAAUGCGUAGAUAUCUGGAGGAACAUCAGUGGCGAAGGCGACUUCCUGGCUUAAAACUGACGCUGAGGUGCGAAAGCGUGGGUAGCGAACGGGAUUAGAUACCCCGGUAGU
rnacentral:rRNA from 1 species